rnacentral:rRNA from 1 species
GACGUAGGGCGCGAGCGUUGUCCGGAUUUAUUGGGCGUAAAGAGCUCGUAGGCGGCUUGUCGCGUCGACUGUGAAAUCCCGCGGCUCAACUGCGGGUCUGCAGUCGAUACGGGCAGGCGUAGAGUUCGGUAGGGGAGACUGGAAUUCCUGGUGUAGCAGUGAAAUGCGUAGAUAUCAGGAGGAACAGCCGAUGGCGAAGGCAGGUCCCUGGGCUGACACUGACGCUCAUGCACGAAAGCGUGGGGAGCAAACAGG